rfam:Dipodomys ordii contig_1504, whole genome shotgun sequence.
GGGAAUGUGGCUUAGUUAUAGAGUGCUUGCCUAGCAUGCAUGAAACCCCAGGUUCAAUUCCUCAGUACCA